GGAAGAAGGAAAUUAUUUUGGAGUCUCUGUGGUGAUCCAAGCGAGACAAGGAAACUCCCAACAGGCUGAUGCUUCAGAGGAGAUUGGAAAGAAUGUUCAAAGCUUAAAACAAUGGAAGCUCUUGCUCACAGGCCGGGUUCUCCAGGAAGCAGACGCCGCAAUUGUCCUAGAAUGUGAAAGGCUUAUUGGGACAGGGUCUUGCUGUUGCCCAGGCUGGCCUCAACCGAUCCUCCCACCUUGGACUCCCAAAGUGCUGAGAUUACUGAUGUGAGCCACUGUGCCUAGCCACCUAAUCUUCAGUUCGGCAUGACUAAAGAGACCCACCUGUAAAUCUACUUAAUAGCCAGAUCACAGGGAUCUAGAGACGUCUUCAAAUUAUCAGCAACAGAACUCAGCCAAGGGGCCAUUGAGGUGCAAAAUUCAAAAGAAAGGCAAAGUCUAAAGAAAUAUGUAGUGAAGAAUUGAGAGAGUACUGAACAGAAUAUUUGAAAGCAGAUCUA